rnacentral:tRNA from 1 species
GAGGGUAUAGCUCAGUGGUAGAGUGUCUGCUUAGCAGGCACAAGGUCCUGGGUUUAAUCCCCAGUAUCCCCA